CCCUAGAGGAGCCUGUUCCAUAAUCGAUAAACCCCGAUCCACCUCACCCUCUCUUGCUUAGCCUAUAUACCGCCAUCUUCAGCAAACCCUGAUAAAGGUUACAAAGUGAGCACAAACGCCCCGCCGCCGCAAAAACGUUAGGUCAAGGUGUAGCCCAUGAGAGGGUAAAAAUGGGCUACAUUUUCUACAUCAGAAAACCCCACGAAAACUCUUAUGAAACCUGAGAGUCCAAGGAGGAUUUAGCAGUAAAUUAAGAAUAGAGUGCUUAAUUGAACCAGGCCAUAAAGCGCGUACACACCGCCCGUCACUCCCCUCAAAUAUAUUUAAGGAACAUCUUAACUAAACACCCCAAUAUUUAUAUAGAGGGGAUAAGUCGUAACAUGGUAAGUGUACUGGAAGGUGCACUUGGAU
rnacentral:rRNA from 1 species